rnacentral:rRNA from 1 species
GAUGAACGCUAGCGACAGGCCUAACACAUGCAAGUCGAGGGGUAACAGUGCUGCUUGCAGCAGCUGACGACCGGCGCACGGGUGCGUAACGCGUAUGCAACCUACCUUAUACAGAGGGAUAGCCCGGAGAAAUUCGGAUUAAUACCUCAUGGUAAUCUAAUAUCGCAUGAUUUUAGAUUUAAAGAUUUAUCGGUAUAAGAUGGGCAUGCGUAGUAUUAGAUAGUUGGUGGGUAACGGCCUACCAAGUCUACGAUCUAUAGCUGGUUUUAGAGGAUGAUCAGCAACACUGGGACUGAGACACGGCCCAGACUCCUACGGGAGGCAGCAGUGGGGAAUCUUGGACAAUGGGCGCAAGCCUGAUCCAGCCAUGCCGCGUGAGUGA